rnacentral:misc_RNA from 1 species
CUGACAGUACUAACGCUAACACCGUGAGAUAAUCCUCCGGCCUAGGACUCGUGGGUACAAUUGCAUUGCUAGCGUCAGUACUGUCAGCCCCCGAUUCUCCACUCUUCAACUCCACCUCUACCACCUCGGCAGUCCCAUCGCUGGAAGAACCCGAGCAAAAAAAGGCCCUUUGAUAAUAGGUACGGUUUCCGGAUGUCCUACGAGUCAAUCCAGUGAUGGAACCGAGCGCUUUGAGCAACGAAUUUGUGGACGACUGGGUCGUCACUCGGAGGCACGGAGAGGCU